rnacentral:ncRNA from 1 species
CGAGAAAGGCAAAGCGUUCGAAAGAACGUGACGCAAAGCCCAGGACCGUCCUACCGCAAGGUAAACGGUAGCCAGGCUGCCGC